ACGCUGGCGGCAUGCUUUACACAUGCAAGUCGGACGGCAGCACAGAGAAGCUUGCUUCUUGGGUGGCGAGUGGCGAACGGGUGAGUAACAUAUCGGAACGUACCGAGUAAUGGGGGAUAACUAAUCGAAAGAUUAGCUAAUACCGCAUAUUCUCUGAGGAGGAAAGCAGGGGACCUUCGGGCCUUGCGUUAUUCGAGCGGCCGAUAUCUGAUUAGCUAGUUGGUGGGGUAAAGGCCUACCAAGGCGACGAUCAGUAGCGGGUCUGAGAGGAUGAUCCGCCACACUGGGACUGAGACACGGCCCAGACUCCUACGGGAGGCAGCAGUGGGGAAUUUUGGACAAUGGGCGCAGGCCUGACCCAGCCAUGCCGCGUGUCUGAAGAAGGCCUUCGGGUUGUAAAGGACUUUUGUCAGGGAAGAAAAGGCUGUUGCUAAUACCGACAGUUGAUGACGGUACCUGAAGAAUAAGCACCGGCUAACUACGUGCCAGCAGCCGCGGUAAUACGUAGGGUGCGAGCGUUAAUCGGAAUUACUGGGCGUAAAGCGAGCGCAGACGGUUACUUAAGCAGGAUGUGAAAUCCCCGGGCUCAACCUGGGAACUGCGUUCUGAACUGGGUGACUAGAGUGUGUCAGAGGGAGGUAGAAUUCCACGUGUAGCAGUGAAAUGCGUAGAGAUGUGGAGGAAUACCGAUGGCGAAGGCAGCCUCCUGGGAUAACACUGACGUUCAUGCUCGAAAGCGUGGGUAGCAAACAGGAUUAGAUACCCUGGUAGUCCACGCCCUAAACGAUGUCAAUUAGCUGUUGGGCAACUUGAUUGCUUAGUAGCGUAGCUAACGCGUGAAAUUGACCGCCUGGGGGAGUACGGUCGCAAGAUUAAAACUCAAAGGAAUUGACGGGGACCCGCACAAGC
rnacentral:rRNA from 1 species